rnacentral:rRNA from 1 species
UGGGGAAUAUUGGGCAAUGGGGGAAACCCUGACCCAGCAACGCCGCGUGAGGGAAGAAGGUCUUCGGAUUGUAAACCUUUGUCCUUGGGGACGAAAAAAAUGACGGUACCCAAGGAGGAAGCCCCGGCUAACUACGUGCCAGCAGCCGCGGUAAUACGUAGGGGGCGAGCGUUGUCCGGAAUUACUGGGCGUAAAGGGAGCGUAGGCGGUUUAUUAAGUUAGAUGUGAAAUACCCGUGCUUAACAUGGGGGGUGCAUCUAAUACUGGUAGACUUGAGUGCAGGAGAGGAAAGUGGAAUUCCUAGUGUAGCGGUGAAAUGCGUAGAUAUUAGGAGGAACACCAGUGGCGAAGGCGACUUUCUGGACUGUAACUGACGCUGAGGCUCGAAAGCGUGGGGAGCAAACA